UGGGGAAUAUUGGACAAUGGGCGCAAGCCUGAUCCAGCCAUGCCGCGUGAGUGAUGAAGGCCCUAGGGUUGUAAAGCUCUUUCAGCGAGGAGGAUAAUGACGUUACUCGCAGAAGAAGCCCCGGCUAACUUCGUGCCAGCAGCCGCGGUAAUACGAAGGGGGCUAGCGUUGUUCGGAAUCACUGGGCGUAAAGCGCACGUAGGCGGACUUUUAAGUCAGGGGUGAAAUCCCGGGGCUCAACCUCGGAACUGCCUUUGAUACUGGAAGUCUGGAGUCCGAGAGAGGUGAGUGGAACUCCGAGUGUAGAGGUGAAAUUCGUAGAUAUUCGGAAGAACACCAGUGGCGAAGGCGGCUCACUGGCUCGGUACUGACGCUGAGGUGCGAAAGCGCGGGGAGCAAACAGGAUUAGAUACCCUGGUAGUCCACGCCGUAAACGAUGGAAGCUAGCCGUCAGGGUGCAUGCAUCUUGGUGGCGCAGUUAACGCAUUAAGCUUCCCGCCUGGGGAGUACGGUCGCAAGAUUAAAAACUCAAAGGAAUUGAC
rnacentral:rRNA from 1 species